CUUAGAGGGCCUCAGAUGGAUUUCUUCUGAAGGAGAUUCAAACAACCAGCGUUUGACAGACAUUGAAGUAUAUAAAUGAAGCUAGGAGCAGUUUGUGCGCUUUGGGACACAGGUGAUAGUUUCUCCACAAGCUGAUUGGAUGGUAUUACUGGAUUUCAGUGAGAGGCGUCAUCUUUCUCUAGUUCCUCAUGCUUCUGCGAGGGUCGGUCUUAGAGUUCUGGCUUUGACUGGAUGGAAAGAAGUUGCUCCAGUGUCACAGGAAGCCUGAACCCCUUUGACACUCACCGCUCGAUGACAGAUCCUCCCGGAGGACUCGACAGCUGCAAACAAAUGCAUUGUUCUUCUUGUCAACCCGCCGCUGAAAGGUGAUCCGGAGCUGUGCAGCGAUUGGCCUCAUUUAGAUACGGCCAUUAAGGAGGUUACUGUGACCAGGUGAAGUGCUGUUUGAAAAGAGAACAAGGACACAUCCACGCACAGAGGAAAGGCCACAUGGCCAUGCAAAGCGAAGAUGACUGUCACCAAGCCAAGGAAAGGGGCCUCCGCGGAAACCUAAUGACAUGUUGGUCUUGGGCUUCCGGCCUCCAGGACUGUAAGAAAAGUGAAUCUCAGUGGCUUUCCCUUCCCUAGGGCUCAGCAGCCUUGGCAGCUGAUACACAGCACUGUGAGAAAGAGCUCAGCAGGAGUGAGCUGCAUCCCUGUGCACAACUGUGGAAAACACUUAGAAGGGGAGCUGGGCGUGUGGGUCAGUGGUUAGAACACUUGCUACUCUUGCUGAGGACCCAGGUCAGUUUCCAGCCAUCCACACAGGGGCUCACAAACCAUUUGUAGCUCUAGUUCUGGGGAAUCUGAGGCCUUGGCACCUCUGUUGGUACCAAGUGCACGUGGUGCUCACAAAUACUUGUAGGCAAAGCACUUAUUCACAUAAAAUAAUCUAUCAGAAAGACCACAACAGCAAUGAAAACCACUCUGUAGAUGCUGGAGGCUAGAGACCCUCUGGGAAGGGCACACGCGUGCACGCGCGCGCGCGCACACACACACACACACACAGAGUGCAAACCAUUUGUGGAACCAUGGCAUGUCCGUGGUUUUGAAUGUCCCAACAUCUUGGGAAGCUGAUUGGUGAUUGUGAAAGAGAAAGAGAAUGUAUCGGUCUGGUAAUAGGGUUUCUGAGGAGAUGGGCCCCCCAUUAAGCCUCAGGAGAAAGAGUUAUCAUUUGGGAAAGGGGAGGCGCUCUCAUCAUUAAGCAAGUCAAACUUGGCUAGGAUAUCUGGGACGUUUCUCCUUCCUGCUCAGAUCUGAAGAACAAAUCCCAACGAAAAUGGUAGCCGAUGGCCAAGGAGUGAGGCGCUUUGGCUUCUGGUUAUCAAAUGUCUAGCCCUUUCAAAGCCAUUUUUUUUUUUUUUAAUGGAGAAUCAUGGACUCAGAUUUUGGCUAAAACAAGUUUGUCAUAUUAUAGAUCUAUGUUGUGGAGACACAGUGGUACCAGUGUGGGAUGGAAGGAGGUGGGGGUGAUGGGAGAGGGGGAGGGGGAAGCAGGGCGGGGGGGGGGGAGCCAACAGCCACACCCCCUAGGCUACCAAUGGCCUUUUCUUUUACUCCAACCUUUUUAGUGGUUUUAUUUGUUUUGGUUUCUUUG
rnacentral:lncRNA from 1 species